UACGGGGGGGGUAAGCGUUGUUCGGAAUUACUGGGCGUAAAGGGCUCGUAGGCGGCCAACUAAGUCAGACGUGAAAUCCCUCAGCUUAACUGGGGAACUGCGUCUGAUACUGGAUGGCUUGGAUUCGGGAGAGGAAUGCGGAAUUCCAGGUGUAGCGGUGAAAUGACGUAGAUAUCUGGAGGAACACCGGUGGCGAAGGCGGCAUUCUGGACCGACAUUGACGCUGAGGAGCGAAAGCCAGGGGAGCAAACGGG
rnacentral:rRNA from 1 species